AUACAGAGGGUGCAAGCGUUAAUCGGAAUUACUGGGCGUAAAGCGCGCGUAGGCGGCUUAUUAAGUCAGAUGUGAAAUCCCAGGGCUCAACCUUGGAACUGCCUCUGAUACUGGUAAGCUAGAGUUUAGGAGAGGGAAGUAGAAUUUCAGGUGUAGCGGUGAAAUGCAUAGAGAUCAGAAGGAAUACCAGUGGCGAAGGCGACUUCCUGGCCUAAAACUGACGCUGAGGUGCGAAAGCGUGGGUAGCAAACGGGAUUAGAUACCCUUGUAGUCC
rnacentral:rRNA from 1 species